rnacentral:rRNA from 1 species
ACUCCUACGGGAGGCAGCAGUGGGGAAUAUUGCACAAUGGGCGNAAGCCUGAUCCAGCCAUGCCGCGUGUGUGAAGAAGGCNUUCGGGUUGUAAAGCACUUUCAGNCANGAGGAAAGGGUGUUAGUUAAUACCUCACAUGCUGUGACGUUACUUACAGAAGAAGCACCGGCUAACUCC